AUUGAACGCUGGCGGCAUGCCUUACACAUGCAAGUCGAACGGUAACAGGUCUUCGGAUGCUGACGAGUGGCGAACGGGUGAGUAAUACAUCGGAACGUGCCUAGUAGUGGGGGAUAACUACUCGAAAGAGUGGCUAAUACCGCAUGAGAUCUACGGAUGAAAGCAGGGGAUCGCAAGACCUUGUGCUACUAGAGCGGCCGAUGGCAGAUUAGGUAGUUGGUGGGAUAAAAGCUUACCAAGCCGACGAUCUGUAGCUGGUCUGAGAGGACGAUCAGCCACACUGGGUCUGAGACACGGCCCAGACUCCUACGGGAGGCAGCAGUGGGGAAUUUGGGACAAUGGGCGCAAGCCUGAUCCAGCAAUGCCGCGUGCAGGAUGAAGUCCUUCGGGUUGUAAACUGCUUUUGUACGGAACGAAAAGCCCUGGGUUAAUACCCUGGGGUCAUGACGGUACCGUAAGAAUAAGCACCGGCUCACUACGUGCCAGCCGCCGCCGUAACAC
rnacentral:rRNA from 1 species